CCGAACUGUGGGGGAUAGCCGGCCUAACGGCCGAGUAAUACCGCAUACGCUUUCAGUGAGGCAUUUCAUUGAAAGGAAACCUACGGGACAGAUCGAGGGGCUCGCGGCNUAUCUGCUAAUUGGUGAGGUAACGGCUCACCAAGGCAACGACGGGUAGCUGGUCUGAGAGGAUGGCCAGCCACAUUGGGACUGAGAUACGGCCCAGACUCCUACGGGAGGCAGCAGUGGGGAAUCUUGCGCAAUGGCCUAACGGCUGACGCAGCGACGCCGCGUGUGGGAUGAAGCUCUUCGGAGUGUAAACCACUGUUGCCCGGGACGAACAGCUCGAUUAAUCGAGCCUGACGGUACCGGGUGAGGAAGCACCGGCUAACUCCGUGCCAGCAGCCGCGGUAAUACGGGGGGUGCGAGCGUUGUCCGGAAUCACUGGGCGUAAAGGGCGCGUAGGUGGUUUGAUAAGGGUGUGGUGAAAGUCCGGGGCUCAACCCCGGAUCUGCCGUGCCGACUGUCAGACUCGAGGGCUGUAGAGGCAGACGGAAUUCCGGGUGUAGCGGUGGAAUGCGCAGAUAUCAGGAGGAACACCGGUGGCGAAGGCGGUCUGCUGGGCAGUUUCUGACACUGAUGCGCGACAGCGUGGGGAGCAAACAGGAUUAGAUACCCUGGUAGUCCACGCCGUAAACGAUGGGUACUAGGUGCCUGGGGGAGCGACCCUCUGGGUG
rnacentral:rRNA from 1 species